GACGAACGCUGGCGGCGUGCUUAACACAUGCAAGUCGAACGAUGAAGCCGGAGCUUGCUCUGGUGAAUUAGUGGCGAACGGGUGAGUAACACGUGAGUAACCUGCCCUUGACUCUGGGAUAACUGCUAGAAAUGGUAGCUAAUACCGGAUACGACCCUCGGAGGCAUCUCCAGGGGGUGGAAAGAAUUUCGGUCAAGGAUGGACUCGCGGCCUAUCAGCUAGUUGGUGAGGUAAUGGCUCACCAAGGCGACGACGGGUAGCCGGCCUGAGAGGGUGACCGGGCACACUGGGACUGAGACACGGCCCAGACUCCUACGGGAGGCAGCAGUGGGGAAUAUUGCACAAUGAGCGCAAGCCUGAUGCAGCAACGCCGCGUGAGGGAUGACGGACUUCGGGUUGUAAACCUCUUUUAGUAGGGAAGAAGCGAAAGUGACGGUACCUGCAGAAAAAGCACCGGCUAACUACGUGCCAGCCGCCGCAGUAA
rnacentral:rRNA from 1 species